GUACACUCCUGCGGGAGGCAGCAGUGGGGAAUAUCGCACAAUGGGCGCAAGCCUGAUGCAGCCAUGCCGCGUGUAUGAAGAAGGCCUUCGGGUUGUAAAGUACUUUCAGCGGGGAGGAAGGCGAUAAGGUUAAUAACCUUGUCGAUUGACGUUACCCGCAGAAGAAGCACCGGCUAACUCCGUGCCAGCAGCCGCGGUAAUACGGAGGGUGCAAGCGUUAAUCGGAAUUACUGGGCGUAAAGCGCACGCAGGCGGUCUGUCAAGUCGGAUGUGAAAUCCCCGGGCUCAACCUGGGAACUGCAUUCGAAACUGGCAGGCUAGAGUCUUGUAGAGGGGGGUAGAAUUCCAGGUGUAGCGGUGAAAUGCGUAGAGAUCUGGAGGAAUACCGGUGGCGAAGGCGGCCCCCUGGACAAAGACUGACGCUCAGGUGCGAAAGCGUGGGGAGCAAACAGGAUUAGAAACCCUUGUAGUCCCAUG
rnacentral:rRNA from 1 species